GCGAGGCCGAAAGGCGUAGUCGAUGGGAAACGGGUUAAUAUUCCCGUACUUCUUACAAUUGCGAUGGGGGGACGGAGAAGGCUAGGUGGGCCUGGCGACGGUUGUCCAGGUUCAAGUGCGUAGGCUUGAGAGUUAGGUAAAUCCGGCUCUCUCUAAGGCUGAGACACGACGUCGAGCACCUACGGGUGUGAAGUCAUUGAUGCCAUGCUUCCAGGAAAAGCCUCUAAGCUUCAGAUUGUAAGGAAUCGUACCCCAAACCGACACAGGUGGUCGGGUAGAGAAUACCAAGGCGCUUGAGAGAACUCGGGUGAAGGAACUAGGCAAAAUGGUACCGUAACUUCGGGAGAAGGUACGCUCUCGACGGUGAAGUCCCUCGCGGAUGGAGCUAUUGAGAGUCGCAGAUACCAGGUGGCUGCAACUGUUUAUUAAAAACACAGCACUGUGCAAAAUCGUAAGAUGACGUAUACGGUGUGACGCCUGCCCGGUGCCGGAAGGUUAAUUGAUGGGGUUAGACUUC
rnacentral:rRNA from 1 species